GACGAAUUCGUCGCAAGCCUAACCGAGGAAGCCCUCAACGAGAUGCAGUACCUUCACGCAUCUCUGACCGAGACUCUCAGGCUGUACCCUGCAGUUCCACUGGUGAACUAUCUGAAGCUAAUUUGCUGGUCGAUCCUUGUUGGCACUCGGUGCUUGCUUACUGACUCACAUGUGUCAACACAGGAUGUCAAGCAAUGCUUCUCGGAGGACACAUUACCAGAUGGAUUCGAAGUCAAGAAAGGAGACUUGGUGAUUUACCAACCUUAUCCUAUGGGAAGAAUGCAGUUCUUGUGGGGUGAGGAUGCAGAGGAUUUCCGGCCAGAGAGAUGGCUCAACGGUGACGGUGUAUUUGUGCCAGGAAGCCCCUUCAAGUUCCCUGCUUUCCAGGUGAGGCAACCAAAAACCUGCAAUUAGCUGGAUAAGUCGAUCUGAAGGUGAUUGAUUCUUUG
rnacentral:lncRNA from 1 species